rnacentral:rRNA from 1 species
GUGUCAGCCGCCGCGGUAAUACGUAGGUGGCAAGCGUUGUCCGGAUUUAUUGGGUUUAAAGGGUGCGUAGGCGGUUCAUUAAGUCAGUGGUGAAAUACGGCAGCUCAACUGUCGAGGUGCCAUUGAUACUGGUGAACUUGAGUACUGAUGAGGUAGGCGGAAUGGACGGUGUAGCGGUGAAAUGCUUAGAGAUCGUCCAGAACACCGAUAGCGAAGGCAGCUUACUAAAGAGUAACUGACGCUGAGGCACGAAAGUGUGGGGAUCAAACAGGAUUAGAAACCCGGGUAGUCC